GACGAACGCUGGCGGCGUGCUUAACACAUGCAAGUCGAACGGUGAAGCGCCUUCCCUUUUGGUGGGUGUGGAUGAGUGGCGAACGGGUGAGUAACACGUGAGUAACCUGCCCCCUUCUUCUGGAUAACCGCAUGAAAGUGUGGCUAAUACGGGAUAUUCUGGGUCUGUCGCAUGAUGGGUCUGGGAAAGAUAUUGUUUCGGUGGGGGAUGGGCUCGCGGCCUAUCAGCUUGUUGGUGGGGUGAUGGCCUACCAAGGCGGUGACGGGUAGCCGGCCUGAGAGGGUGGACGGUCACACUGGGACUGAGACACGGCCCAGACUCCUACGGGAGGCAGCAGUGGGGAAUAUUGCACAAUGGGCGCAAGCCUGAUGCAGCGACGCCGCGUGAGGGAUGGAGGCCUUCGGGUUGUGAACCUCUUUCGCCAGUGAAGCAGGCCUGCCUCGUUUGUGGGUGGGUUGACGGUAGCUGGAGAAGAAGCGCCGGCUAACUACGUG
rnacentral:rRNA from 1 species